CACGAUGUCCGUUCUCAACACGGUAGUGUACAAAAAUCUCGGAUAGCUAUUUUUUUACUUGUCUGUUUCUACUGAACGACGAAACAAGUCCGUUCUGUCAUAAUCAAGACAAGCAUCUACAACCCUCCUCUAUGAGGAUUGCUGAAAGAACUGGUCAGCCAGGGACCACAUGCGAAAUUACACACGAGGCGCUAAAGGAGGGCAGCUGUGGAGAGGGAGCUCGUGCGGCUUUCCCGAUUUCAUUGGAGGAGAGACACCCUCCUUAACGGAUAAUAGGCCGAUGUCCGUUGCUAACCGUCCCUUUAAAGGAACCACGCCUCGAACGCGCAGACAAAGACAAAUAAACAGCAGCUUAUACGCAGGAGGGCACAGUAAAGAAACAAGACAAGUAGGAUAAUUGGUACAAAACAAUAAGAAGAAAGAGAAAAAUCGUCUGUGACUUCCGCUAUAUCACGAUGCUAUCCUAACGCGGGAGCGAAUUUCAAGAAAGGCUAGCACUCUGACUUAGACAAUACAGAGCAAUAUAUCCAUUUUCUUGUGCUUAACAAACCCCAAUUACGGGUUUGAAGAACUUGCAGCUGUUUAUAAAAAUGAGAUCUUGCAAUAUAGGUGCUAAAUAAACAGAAUGGUUUGAAGAGUA